rnacentral:rRNA from 1 species
AGUGAACGCUGGCGGUAGGCCUAACACAUGCAAGUCGAACGGCAGCACAGUAAGAGCUUGCUCUUACGGGUGGCGAGUGGCGGACGGGUGAGGAAUACAUCUGAAUCUACUUUUUCGUGGGGGAUAACGUAGGGAAACUUACGCUAAUACCGCAUACGACCUACGGGUGAAAGCAGGGGAUCUUCGGACCUUGCGCGAUUGAAUGAGCCGAUGUCGGAUUAGCUAGUUGGCGGGGUAAAGGCCCACCAAGGCGACGAUCCGUAGCUGGUCUGAGAGGAUGAUCAGCCACACGGGAACUGAGACACGGUCCAGACUCCUACGGGAGGCAGCAGUGGGGAAUAUUGGACAAUGGGCGCAAGCCUGAUCCAGCCAUACCGCGUGGGUGAAGAAGGCCUUCGGGUUGUAAAGCCCUUUUGUUGGGAAAGAAAAGCAGCAGGUUAAUACCCCGCUGUUCUGACGGUACCCAAAGAAUAAGCACCGGCUAACUUCGUG